GCUUCGCCCUGCCUGCUAAGAAGCGUGUGUGCUUGUACAAAGGCCGUUCAGCCUCGGGAUUUACACUCGGCUCGACACGGAUAUGUGAAGAAUGAAGAGACUCUGCAGCGAAACGGAGAGACCAACCUCUGACUGAGUGCCUGUUUUCGCAGUCUGACCACCUGUUGAAGGGCUGUUUGAUGACGAUUUGGACUCCUCUGGGAGAUGAGGACACACCCAUACCUGUUCCAUACUGCAGCCGUUGAUGGUGUUACGGCUCUGAGGCAGCUUUGGGCCAUCAGACGCACACACUGGAAAACCAGCACCUUCAUGCAGGAGAGACGGCCUCAGUGAUGAUGGACUCUGCAUCCUCUACUUUACCUCCUAAUCUCUUUCUUCUUUAACACAUAAUUAAAAUCACUCCAAAAGAGUGUAAACUUAUUGAGUAAGUCUCUAACUUGUACACAUUUGUACUUUUACUUGUUUUAUGAGUUAUUUUUAAGAAGAGUAAAGUUAUUCACAAAGUC